UUCUCAGCUCAAGAUAAUGGGUCAUCUUCUUCCUUAGAAACCUAAGGCAUGGAAAUUUUCAAUCCUCCAUAACUUCUUCAUUUUUAAUCGGUUUUGCGUGAUUCUCGUGGCUAAGGAAAGAGGAGGAGGAGAGCUUUCAAUCUAUUCCACAAAAUCAAGUGUGUUUUUCAGGUACCUAGAUUCUAGACGUAGCUAGAAGUUCGUCUUUAACCGGAAGUUCCUUUGGCUAUGUACAGUCCCGACUUCCGUAGAUGCUGCAGUAGUAUGAUAUCUGACCAGUGUCGUGGCCUAUUACAGCAGUGAAAUUUUAUAUGGUUUGUAGUUGAUGUCUGUUGUGUACAUGAGGCUGGCUACAAUAGUUAUCACGGAGGUAAAUUCCCGUGAUGUAAUUUCGACAUAGUGGUUUAUGCCGGGCUAAUUCGUUCAUGAUACAGAAACGUUAAGUCUGAGCACGUUGUAUGGUUUUACCACUGUAUAUAAAUGUAUCUUUGUUUAAAUGCUGCGUUUGUAAAGUCAUUGUAUGAUUGUUUAAUUGCGAAAAAGUUUUAGUGAA